rnacentral:rRNA from 1 species
UACAGAGGUCUCAAGCGUUGUUCGGAUUCAUUGGGCGUAAAGAGCUCGUAGGCGGUCUGUCGCGUCUGCUGUGAAAACUCGGGGCUUAACCCCGGGCCUGCAGUGGGUACGGGCAGACUAGAGUGCGGUAGGGGAGACUGGAAUUCCUGGUGUAGCGGUGAAAUGCGCAGAUAUCAGGAGGAACACCGGUGGCGAAGGCGGGUCUCUGGGCCGGAACUGACGCUGAGGAGCGAAAGCGUGGGGAGCGAACAGG